UACAGGGGGUGCAAACGUUGCUCGGAAUUAUUGGGCGUAAAGCGCGCGUAGGCGGCCAACUAAGUCGGAUGUGAAAUCCCCAGGCUUAACCUGGGAACUGCAUCCGAUACUGGAUGGCUUGAAUUCGGGAGAGGGAUGCGGAAUUCCAGGUGUAGCGGUGAAAUGCGUAGAUAUCUGGAGGAACACCGGUGGCGAAGGCGGCAUCCUGGACCAAUAUUGACGCUGAGGAGCGAAAGCCAGGGGAGCAAACGGG
rnacentral:rRNA from 1 species